rnacentral:rRNA from 1 species
UACGAAGGGGGCUAGCGUUGUUCGGAAUCACUGGGCGUAAAGCGCGCGUAGGCGGCUUUGCAAGUCGGGUGUGAAAUCCCCAGGCUUAACCUGGGAACUGCGUCGGAUACUGGAUGGCUUGAAUUCGGGAGAGGGAUGCAGAAUUCCAGGUGUAGCGGUGAAAUGCGUAGAUAUCUGGAGGAAUACCGGUGGCGAAGGCGGCAUCCUGGACCGAGAUUGACGCUGAACGGCGAAAGCUAGGGGAGCAAACGGG